rnacentral:misc_RNA from 1 species
AGAAACGUUGUUUUUUAACAAUGCGUUCGUCAGUUGUGUUCUGGCGUUAGAGUAGUGAGGGCAGUGAAGGAGUAUGUGUGUAGUGUCUUCUUUUUUUCCGCAUCCAUGUAACCAUUCUGGAUUAAUGUCCAUGUCCCAUUUCCUUAAAGUGUUAUUAAGUUUGCAGUGGCCACUUCUGAGCCUAAAAAGUGCUGUCUGGAUCUUUCUUCUUUUGUGGGUGUGCCAAGGGCACAUGCCCAUUCUCUGACGGUUGAUCACUCCAGUUCUUUCAGCUACAUUUGGAAAGUGGCUCAACUGGUGACCUACGUUUUUGUGGCGUUUGGCGUUGGCUGGAUUAUCUGCUGUUGCAUUGCCGUGUAUACCUGAGUGGCUUGGUAUUGUGUGGCUGGCUGUCCAUUUGAAGUUCCUGAUUGCCUCUAUGGCUGCUUUGGAGUCGCAGUAGAUGGUGAUCAUGUUCCAGUCUUGGUGGUAUGAAGAAUGCGCAUGUUGACUUCCUGCUUGUCAUGCUUGUGGAUCAAUCCGUGUAUAUGGACAAGUGGUCUGGUGGUUCAUCUUUGUUGAUUGCUCUGAAGGUUGCUGACGUAAGUUUUUGGAUUCUUGUUUUCGGGGCUGAUGAGAUGACUGCGGCUCCAUAGUCUAUUUUGCUGCGGAUGAUUGCUGUAUAAAUACGGAGGAGGGGGGUAGUUUGCAGCGGGUGUUUGCCAUAGGUGACAGCUGCGCAUUUGGGGGUUGAGAGUUCAAGUUUCCAGUGUUUGGUCCAGCUGUCUAUUAUGUCGAGGGACGUUUUGCAGCCGGCUACUGGUGGUGGAAAGUCAGCCAUCAUGAUAUUGAAGAAUAUCCGGCUUAAGACGCACCCUUGGGGGACGCCUCUAUUAAGAUAUCUUUCUUCGGACAUGUUGUUUUCCAUUUUGACAGUAAUACUUCUGUUGGUUAGGAAGUUUUGGAGCCAAUUAAGCCUUUUUCAGAUCCAGGAAUACUGCUGUGGUGGAUUUCUUUUCAUUGAAGCCGCUGAUGAUAUCGGAUUCGAGACGAACUAUGUUAUCGUUGGUAGUGCACCCACUUCUGAAGCCUGUUUGGAAUUUUGGGAGAGGCAUGAGGUCAGCGAAAUUGGCCUAUACGAGUCGGUAUCUUCUGGAGGUUUAUUUGGCUUUAGGAUUGGGAUGACAAUAGCAGUUUUCCAGUCGGUGGGAUUCCUCAGGAUGACCAAAUCUUCUGCAUAGGGCUGGUCUUGGGAUAAAUUGUUUAACCUGGAAUAUUUCGUGGGCUACUACUACUUCCCGCGGGAGAGAUGGUGUGUUGAAGAAGAGUUUAACCGUUUGGGAUGGUACUUUGGUCCCAUCAUCUGACAUGGAUGAAAAUCUUUGGGUUUUAGUGACUCCCUGAUCUGCCAGAAGUUCCGCGAGUUCUUCAUCUGAGUUGUUGAUUGGUACGUUACGAAUGAUCCCCCUGAUGAUGGAUUCGGACAUAGCUAAUGUGCAAUAGAUUUGGAAUUCUUUGACUGAUUUGAGUUCUAAAAGUUAUUUUUUCUGUCCGUUGGUUGUCGGGUAGAUAUUCAGGUCGCCCCGAUGUGUCCAUUUGGUGCCUUCUCUAAGGGGCCCCACGAUGUUUAUCAAGGCAUUUAUGAAGUGUUUUUUCUCUGUUAGGCUUAAUAGGGUGAAUGCUUUGGGCUCGCAUGUUAAAUGGAUGAUGACAGGUGCUCCGCUGAUGGGUUGAUCAAAAAGGUCGGAGAAUCUGGGGUGGAUUCGUCGUGCACUGUGGUUAUCCGAGAUUUUUUUCCUUUUGUUAUUACACUCCUCUACUUCCAUAGAUUGGUCGAUGGCACUGGAUACA